rnacentral:tRNA from 1 species
GCUCCCAUAGAUUAAUUGGCAAAUCGUCAGGCCCUCAACCUGAAAACUACGGGUUCGAUCCCCGUUGGGAGUACCA